UUGAGAGGAAAACAAAAGUCGAAGGCGACGAAGAAGUCGGUGGAUUCCGCGAGAAAGAGUCUCGGUGGUCUGAUCGUGGGAGAAUCUCGGCGGUGGCUUUCGUAGCCGAAGAAUCGUCGGUGGGUUUCGUCGACGACCAAUCUCUGUGGGCUCUCCUCGAUGAAGAACCUCGGUGGCGUUGCUCGAAGAAGAAUCUCGGUGGCUCUGAGCAUCGGAGAAUCUCUGUGGCUCUCCUCGACGGAGGAAAUCAGCGGCUCUCCUCUACAAACAAACUCCUCGGUUGGCGCCUAGUUUAAUCGAAAGGUUGAUGGUUUGGUCAAAGAGAGCAUAGGGAGCAUCCUUCUAUUUUCAGGUUGAUGGUUUGUGGUAAGUAUAAUGGUUUGGACAAAGAGAUCAUGGGCUCAGUUCACAUGAAAUGUCUUCUACAGGCGUUGUAGCUUCGUAGUUAAAUAUUUUUUUAUUGUUAAGAACCUUACUUAAGAAACUACUAAUAAACCACUUAAUAUUUCUUUAAAAUUUUAUGUUUAAAAAUAAGUUAAAUAUUUUUUUAUUGUUAAGAACCUUACUUAAGAAACUACCAAUAAACCACUUAAA